rnacentral:lncRNA from 1 species
ACAUUGUCUGCUGCAGAAGAGGCACUGGCAUCAGGGAGUUUUGCCCUCUUCCCCCAUCAGCUUUCCUCUGAGGACGAAGACAUACAACAUACAUGCAUGCCUAUUAAGGCUGACUAGGCAUUUAGAACUAUAAAUUUCCAGUCCCAGCUACUCAGGAGACUGAGGCACAAGAAUUGCUUGAACCUGAGAGGUAGAGGUUGCAGUGAGCCAAGAUCGCACCACUGCACUCCAGCCUGGGCGACAGAGGGAGACUCUGUCAAAAAAAAAAAGAAAGAAGAAAGAAAGAAAAGAAAAGAAAGAAGAAAAAAGAAAGAAAGAAAAAGAGAAAGAAAAAAAGAAGGAAGGAAGAAAGGAAGGAAGGAAGGAAGAAAGGAAGGAAGGAAGGAAGCAAGGGACGAACUACAAAUUUCCCUCUAAUCAGUGUCUUCACUUUAUUCCCAAAUUUUUGGUAUGCUGUGUUUUCAUCUUCAUUCAUCUCUAAGUAUACUCUAACCUCCUUUUUAAUUUCUUCUUUGACUCAUUGGUUGCUUAUGUCAUUUAACUUCCACAUAUUUGCAAAAUUUCCAGUUUUCCUUUAGUUAUUGACUUCACUGCAUGUGGUCGAGGAAGAUACUUUGUAUGGUUUCAAUGUUUAAAAAAUUUAUUGGGACUUGUUUUAUGACCUAACAUAUGGUCUAUUCUGGAGAAUGUUUCAUUUGCACUUCAGAAGAAUGUGUGUUUUGAGAAGAAUAUGUAUUCUGCUGUUGUUGAAUGGAGUGUUCUAUAUUUGUUGGUCUAGCUGGUUUAUGGUGCUGUUCAAAUCCUCUACUUUCUUAUUCAUCUUCUGUCUAUCCAUUGUUUAGAAUAGGGUAUUGUGUCUUCCACUGUUAUUUUAGAACAGUGUAUUUCUUCCUUCAUUUCUGUCAGCUUAUUUCAUAUUUUGAGGUUUUAACUGUUUGUUGCACAUAUGUUUAUAAUAAUUAUACAUUAUUAAUGAAUUGACCCUUUUAUCAAUAUAUAAUUUCAUUCUUUGUUUCUUGUAACAGUUUGUUUUGUUUGAUACAUAUAUUGCCACCCAGCUAUCUUUUGGUUACUAUUUGCAUGGAAUGCUUUUUCUCCAUCCUUUUAUGUUCAACCUAUUUGUGUCUUUGAAUAUAAAGUGAGACUGUUGUAGACAGACAACAUAUAGUUGGAUCAUGUUUUCUAACUAUCCUGCCAAUUUCUGCCUUUUGAUUGGAUGAUUUAAUCAAUUUACAUUUAAAGUGAUUACUGAUAUGGAAGAACUUACUUCUACCUUUUUGCUAUUUGAUUUUUGUAUUUCUUUUUCCCUUUUAAAUAAUUUUUAUCUCUUUAUUGAUAUUAAAAAUUUCAAAUAUAUAUCUGUCCUGAUUUUCAUUAGUACCUUGUCCAAGUUUUCCUUUAGCUGUUUGAACAUAUUUAAUACAGCUUUUUUUUUUUUUUUUUUUUUGAGAUUUAGUCUCACUCUGUCGCCCGGGCUGGAGUGCAGUGGUGCAAUCUCAGCUCACUGCAAGCUCUGCCUCCCGGGUUCACACCAUUCUCCUGCCUCAGCCUCCCCAGUAGCUGGGACUACAGGCAUCCACCACCAUGCCCGGCUAAUUUUUUGUAUUUUUAGUAGAGACGGGGUUUCACCAUGUUAGCCAGGAUGGUCUCGAUCUCCUGACAUUGUGAUCCACCCGCCGUGGCCUCCCAAAGUGCUGGGAUUACAGGCGUGAGCCACCGUGCCUGGCCUCUUAAAGUCUUUGUCUCAAGUCCAUUGUCUGGACUUCCUUGAGGAUGGCUUCUAUCCAUUUAUUUUGCUACUUUCCCAUUUUUUUGUAUGCUUUGUGAUUUGUUUUUGUUGAAAACUGUACGUUUGAAUAUUAUAGUGUGGUAACUGUGGAAAUCAGAUUCUCCUCUUUCUUCAGGGUUUGCUGUUUCGUUGAUUGUUGAAGGCUGUUGUAGUCUGUAUGUUUAGUAACUUUUCCAAUCUAUUUUUGCAAAGGUUGUAUCCCUUGUCACGUAUGGUCACUGAAGUUUCUGGGUUUUUUUUUAAAAAGCUUAUGUUCAGCUGGUGUUUUCAUAGAGAUUUCCUUGAAUUCCAGGAGCUGGAAACAAAAACAAACAAUAAACAACAACAACAACAGAAAAGCAAACUCUUCCUCCUGCUGAAAAACCCCCAAAUCAAAACCAAACACCUCUCCCAGUCUUUGCAGAUUGUCUCUGUGCUGAGACAAUCCAACACUUAUCCAGGCUUACACUGAGCCUGAAGUGAAUGCUUAGUAUGGUCUAAGUUCUGAG